GUUCAGCAUGCAACUUGGAGCUUUCGAAAUUCGAAUGCAAGGUGAUGAAAAAUACGAAUACUUACUCGUACCUACAUAAAAAAAUUAUGACCCCCUUGCAGGUAUACAAUUACUGAAUCAUUAAUCCUAUAUAGGAAUGCCAGUAAGUACCUAGUAAAAUUGAUAGUGACAAAUUAGCGAAACAUUAACAAUACGUAAUACCAGCUUGAUAAAAUACUGUAUAUACAUACAGGUACAGGUAAAGUUAUCGUAAGCUGAGUUCGAUAAACCGUAAUCCGCGAAUGGAUACCUACGUUGCAUUACAAUUUAUUAUUAUACGUCCGAAUUCGAAUGAAAUUUACGAAAUGAUACGUGAAAUGAUUUAAAUUUGCCGAAAUAAUAAGUACACGGACACGAACAAGUUUUCAAUUAACAAUUCUCUCAUCGUAGAUACUUGAAGAUAGAUCUACGAAAACAUUUCUCACUUCAGUUCAAGAACUUCUCCAAGGUUUAUAAGUACCUAUACGAUGUGUACGAAGAAUAAGAAUAAUAACAAGCUGAAUGUGUAAUAUAUUUUUCCACAUACCUACUACAAAGACUAAACUUCAUUCAACGGUUCAUUAUUUCCCAGUGCGUGAUCUUUUGUCUACAUUUAUCGAGGUAUCGCGUCAAAUCGAAACAACGUAAUUCGUGUUGUGUCUGUCAAGUAUCACGCAUCUAUAAUCGAAAAAUUAUACCUAUAUACAUAAAAAAAAGAAUACACUGCAGCGGGCGACGAUUUACCAUAUGCUG